UACGAAGGGGGCUAGCGUUGCUCGGAAUCACUGGGCGUAAAGGGUGCGUAGGCGGGUCUUUUAAGUCAGGGGUGAAAUCCUGGAGCUCAACUCCAGAACUGCCUUUGAUACUGAAGAUCUUGAGUUCGGGAGAGGUGAGUGGAGCUGCGAGUGUAGAGGUGAAAUUCGUAGAUAUUCGCAAGAACACCAGUGGCGAAGGCGGCUCACUGGACGCGUAUUGACGCUGAGGUGCGAAAGCGUGGGGAGCAAACAGG
rnacentral:rRNA from 1 species